rnacentral:ncRNA from 2 species
UACCUUUGCACAAGCUUUGGUACGAGUGCCCUAUCUGUUAGGAUGGCCUUCGUUUAAAAGGGAAUCAGGUGCAAAUCCUGAGCAGUCCCCGCUGCUGUAAGCUUCACAAACAAUGCCUUUUGCGCACAAGCCACUGUCGCAAGAUGAUGGGAAGGCCGCAAAAGCAGAAGCAAGCCAGAAGACCUGCCAGGCAAGAUUUUUUUCA